GAUGAAGAACGUAGUGAAAUGAGAUACGUAAUGUGAAUUGCAGAAUUCAGUGAAUCAUCGAGUCUUUGAACGCACAUUGCGCCCUCUGGUAUUCCGGAGGGCAUGCCUGUCCGAGCGUCAUUGCUGCCCUCAAGCACGGCUUGUGUGUUGGGCCCCGCCCCCCGAUCCCGGGGGGCGGGCCCGAAAGGCAGCGGCGGCACCGCGUCCGGUCCUCGAGCGUAUGGGGCUUUGUCACCCGCUCUGUAGGCCCGGCCGGCGCUUGCCGAUCAACCAAACUUUUUUCCAGGUUGACCUCGGAUCAGGUAGGGAUACCCGCUGAACUUAAGCAUAUCAAUAAGCGGAGGA
rnacentral:misc_RNA from 1 species